rnacentral:rRNA from 1 species
UACGAGGGGGGCAAAUGUUGUUCGGAAUCACUGGGCGUAAAGGGAGCGUAGGCGGGUGUUUAAGUUAGGUGUUUAAUCCUGGGGCCCAACCCCAGUCGUGCACCUAAAACUGGACAUCUUGAAUAGUGGAGAGGUCAGUGGAAUUGGGGGUGUAGCGGUGGAAUGCGUAGAGAUCCCCAAGAACACCAGUUGCGAAGGCGGCUGACUGGACACAUAUUGACGCUAAGGCUCGAAAGCAUGGGGAGCAAACAGG